GGGAAGAUGGCUCAGUGGUAGAGUGCUUGCCUUGCAUUCAUGAGACCUUAGGUUCGAUUCCUCAGUACCA
rfam:Dipodomys ordii contig_26547, whole genome shotgun sequence.